rnacentral:rRNA from 1 species
UACGGAGGGGACUAGCGUUGUUCGGAAUUACUGGGCGUAAAGCGCACGUAGGCGGAUUGGAAAGUUAGAGGUGAAAUCCCAGGGCUCAACCCUGGAACUGCCUUUAAAACUCCCAGUCUUGAGUUCGAGAGAGGUGAGUGGAAUUCCGAGUGUAGAGGUGAAAUUCGUAGAUAUUCGGAGGAACACCAGUGGCGAAGGCGGCUCACUGGCUCGAUACUGACGCUGAGGUGCGAAAGCGUGGGGAGCAAACAGG